rfam:Aptenodytes forsteri contig10769, whole genome shotgun sequence.
UAAACGGCUCUUUUAAGAGCCCCCACGUUUUCCUAAAAAAGAGCUGU